CCUCCCUGCCCUGCCGCCGCCGCCGCUCGCCCGGGCGCCCAUCCCCGGCCUCAACCCGCCCAUCUAGAGAGAUGGGGGCCGCGCGCGACGAGGCCGGCCUAGCCGCCGCCCCCUUCUCCCGCGACCGCACCGCCCUCUCCUCCUUCCUCACGCCGCCGCCCUCUCCUUCUUCCUCCCGCCUCCCUGUCGUGUCGCCCCGCCGCCUCCUCCCUCGCUCGCUUCCUCCUCCCCUCCCGCCGUUCCCCUCCCCUAACCCUAGAAAUCGAUGAGUUCGGGAAGAAGGAGGGGGCAGGCAAGGGGGAGGUGCUGGAGAGGAAGGUGGAGGAGUUCUUUAGGGCCCUGAAGAAAGGGCCCGAGGAGGGGAAGGCCGACGACGCUUCGACAGCGGCGAAGAAGAAGGCGGUGUUGGGAGGGGCACCGAGGUAGGUGAAGCGGGAUGCGGAGAGGGAGGAAGAAGACUGGUCGCGGCAGCACCUCGCGAGCACGAGGACGGAGCUGCCGCCAAGGUGGGACAGGCCGACAGGGACCAUCGUGCUCAUCGACAAGCCCAAAGCUCAAAAUGGGCUCUUUUUUUAACGGAAUUCAGGGUGGACCUCAUUUACUGUUUGUGGGAAACUACGGCGGUUGGUGAAAGUGCAAAAGGUUGGCCAUGCUGGUACUCUGGAUCCUAUGGCCACUGGAUUGUUGAUUGUUUGCGUGGGCAAAGCAACCAAAGUUGUUGAUAGAUAUCAAGGCAUGGUUAAAGGCUAUAGUGGUGUUUUCCGGCUUGGGGAAGCAACAUCAACCUGGGAUGCAGAUUCACCAGUACUAUGCUUGUCAUGGAUUGCUGCCUCACGUGUAUGCUUAGCACAUCUUCGGUGUUCAGCAUGUUCUUCCAUUUGCUUGAUUGAUUAGAGAACCCUGCUACCUCGACGCCUAGGUUGUGGGCAGAAGGUGAUGAGACGAGCACCUGCACCCCGUGGGCUGCUCCAAGGACCACCCGAGGAUCUACGUCGACUGGUUCGCCAUCGCCGACCCAGCCUUCAGGUCCUUUGUUCUCUUUGAGAGGCGUCACAUACUCAGGGUAUAGAAGGGCUCUUGCACCGGAGGUAUCAUGGUCUGUAAGGCAAGCAUCAUGGUUGUUCAAGCAAUCUACGAUGUCGACGAGGCAACAACUCAUGCAUUACAGAGGUCUAUAUUUGAGAGGUUUUUUCCGUGACCGAAGUGGUAAAAUUGAUAAAUCAGAGCCGUGUGAUGCCCUUCUCAGUCUUGGUUAUUCAGUUUCUCCAACUAUGCUUCUGCCUCAGCCAGGACCUCUUCUGCCCUGCACCGCUGCUGUGAACCCAUCCAUGCGGACAGCCACCUCCAUGCUACAACUGUUGCAGCCUGCAGACGCAGAAUGGGAGAUAGAUGGGGGAAGAACAAAGGAUGUUGUGUACUCUCUUUGGAUUUGAUGCCACCAAAGCUAAGUUGAUUUCUGCUCUCUCCCUCCAUCCCAUGCAUGUGAUUGUUGCUUCCCUCUCUUUUCUAAAUACUCACAUUGCCUUUGCUUAAUCUGCUGAUGUGUGUUAUUUGUAGUUCCUUCCCGGACUCUUAACUAAUCUGCAUAUAUACUAUUUAUUAGUAUUUUGCCCUACACCAUAGUUAGUGCUCAGUGAGCUUUGUUUAUUGAUUACGUUGUUCCCUAUGAAACUAGAAGGCUUCAUGAAUGUUUUGUACAUGUUCUACCAAGAAAUUUUUCUAAGUAACAUAUUGAGUUCAACUGCUAUUUAUUGUGACCUUCGAUAGAAGGAUCCACUCAUUUUUAUGUGUAUAUAUUUAGGCUAAAAUGCAUUAUAUUUUACUGAGUCCUGAGACACGGAUCUUCCCAUUGCCAAAAAUUUCUCA